AUUUGUUUUUUGCACCGGUUCUAACCAAACCGGUGUUAAAAGUUUGUUUUUCUACCGGUUCGUUUCGAACCGGUGCGAAAGCAAUAGUUAAAUAAAAAAAAAACCCGGUCUCCGAUCUUACUUUUACUCUUCCGUAGUCCCUCUUUCAUCUCAAACCCCUGUAUAAUCUCAAACCCUACUCCGCUUUUCACUUUCAUCACAAUCUCCUUUUCUCUCCUCUCCCCGUCAUUACAGAUCUGUCGCCCUAAAACUUCUGGCUCGAGACUCCAUCGCCGUCACCACGACACCAAUUGGUGAAGGUGAAUUUCUACCUUUUCGUCCCUCAAUCAUCUUCUUCUUGCAUUUGCUUCUGAAGGUGUCCGCAAUUUUGGAUCUUGGUUGUGGUAAGGUGGGGGUUUCAGAUCUUUGUGGUGGUGAGGUGGGAUUUUGAUUCAUUUCCUUGGUGGUGGUAAUUUGGGGAUUCAGAUCUAAAUUAGUGGUGGUUUUUGGGGUUUCGAUUUUGUUGGAGGUGGUAAUAAGGUGGUUGUUUCGGUUCGCUGGUGGUCGUGCGAGUUGGUUGGGGGUUUGUUGGUGGUCGCUGGUGAUGUGGGGCUUCAAUUGGUGGUGGUGCGAGUUGGUUGGGUGGCUUUUGGGUGGUUGUGGUGGGGUUUCAUGGCGGUGAGAGGGUGGUUACAAGGUGGGUGCUGGUGGUGAUUAUUUUCUCUCUCAUCCAAUUGUCUGUGAUUCAGGUUCGCACUGGAUGUUUACGUUCUAUGAUUUACUUAACCGUGCAGUUCCAAAUCAUACAGCUUUGUCAUCAAAUUAUUUGCAAAAUCUAUAUGGAUCCAAAUUCCAGGUUAAAGGAAUUGAAAAGGAAGAGAUAAUUUGUGCCAAACAGGAGCUGGGACAGAAAAAAAACUUAUAGACCUACAGGUUGGAGAUCUUUUUAACCUUCUGAGUGCGAUUUUUUUUGGUGUCCAUAUGUUGAAGUCUUAGAGAAUUUCAAGAACCACAACAAAAGAGAACUUCAUACCACUCCUUGGAUAUGAGGUUGAGAGCCUUGUCAAAAUAUCAACCAUAACGUUUGGGCAAUUGGGUGUUUCAAUUCCUAGGCAGCCAAUAGUUAAAAGAAUGUAAAUUUUUUAUUUAUUUUUAUCGCACAUGUUGAUAUUUUUGCCUGUUUUCUGAGCAGUUCUGAGGUUUCAUCCAGGUAUGUGUUGUUGCAGUCUCAUCAAUCACCUAGUUCUUAUUCGAAGGCUGGUUUGAUGAAAGUCAUAGACCUUGGACAUGGGAAUUGUUUUUGGUAUCAUGGGUCUCUUUUCCUUGGAUAUUAGCAAUAUACACAGGAGUGCUCUCCGGGAUAUGCUUAUGGGUAGAGCGCAGGAAGUAUCAGCAACUAAAGCAGCUAUUAUUUACGGACUGGAACCAAUUUGGGGAGCUGGCUUUGCUUGGUUCCUUCUUGGUGAAAGAUGGGGUAUUUAUGGAUGGAUUGGUAAAACAGCAGCAACAGCAAGCACGCAUAGCACCACCAGACAACAGCUAACAGCCAGCAGAUAGCCAACAGGCUUUGCAAAA